GACGAACGCUGGCGGCGUGCUUAACACAUGCAAGUCGAACGGUGAAGGGAUCAGCUUGCUGGUUCUGCAUGAGUGGCGAACGGGUGAGUAACACGUGAGUAACCUGCCUCCUUCUUCUGGAUAACCGCAUGAAAGUGGGGCUAAUACGGGAUAUUCUGGGUCUGCCGCAUGUUGGGUCUGGGAAAGAUGUUGUUUCGGUGGGGGAUGGGGGCGCGGCGGAUCAGGUGGUGGGUGGGGUGAUGGCCUAUCAUGGCGGGGACGGGGAGCCGGCGGGAGAGGGGGGCACGUGAGACGGGGACCGCGACACGGACCACACUGCUACGGGACGGAGCAGUAGGGGACGCAGCAGAAGGGAAGCAAGCCGAAUGCAGCGACGCCGCGUGAGGGAUGGAGGCGUUCGGGUUGCACGCCUAUUUGGGGAGAAAAGCAGGCCUGCUACCUGUGGGGGGCUUGACGGUAGCUGGACAAGAAGCCCCGGCUAACUACGUG
rnacentral:rRNA from 1 species